rnacentral:lncRNA from 1 species
CCCACCCCAAGGGAACAAUCAGGGAAGAAGGAACGCAAGACGGUGGAAGCAUGCCAACCUAUUAAACCGCAAGUCAGAGAUCAAACCAUAUCCUCAUUUGAAAAUGGAAAAAGAAAAGAAAUGGAGGCAUUGUGUGAUAUUUGCCUAAAUAUAACUAAAGAGAUCCAUUUAUUUUUAGUGUUUGAUUAAAAACCCUCAAAGGAAAAGAGAAAUUUUGAUCUUUGAGAAGAGCUGUUUCAUCACAGGGUGAAGUUGUUUCCUGAGCCCUUUGAUCUGAAAUGACCUUGCGACCUGGAACCAGCAGACAGCCUGAGGGAGGCAGUGCAUGUUCUGAGCCAGGGCCUCAGGAGGCCUGCAGCUGCCAUUCUGCUUCUGUUGGAACAUGACCUCCUUGAGAACACUCCCAGGCCUGACUGCAGGGUGGGGAGACCACACAGAGCAGAGCCGAGCCACCGGGAUGAGGCCCCUAGAUCACCCAGCUCCCAGCUGACCACAGAUCAUGAGUGAUCCCGUUUCUCCCUAGGUCAAGGGUGAUGUUUUGCUCAGAGAAAACUGAAGUUUGGAUUGUUCCAGUCCUGCAUCACAUCCUGUUUCAGGCUGCCCUAAAACAAAACCAGAAACAACCAUCACCACAAAACACCAUACCUUCAAUAGUCUUCUCAGUGUUCAGAAUAAAGGCUCUGGUUUUCCCUUGGGCUCAAUUUU